GGUAUUCCUUAUCUGUCUAAUACGUUGAUUAUCUGGAACCUGUCCCAUUGUGCUCUUGGUAAAAAACACAAUAAGACAGGUUCUGCGUUUAGUUGCCGCGCUCUAAAGUUGG
rfam:Cedecea davisae DSM 4568 genomic scaffold Scaffold0, whole genome shotgun sequence.